AUGCCCUUCACUACGGAAUAGCCUCGGGAAACUGAGAGUAAUACCGUAUACGCCCUUUGGGGAAAGAUUUAUCGGUGAAGGAUUAGCCCGCGUCUGAUUAGAUAGUUGGUGGGGUAACGGCCUACCAAGUCGACGAUCAGUAGCUGGUUUGAGAGGAUGAUCAGCAACACUGGGACUGAGACACGGCCCAGACUCCUACGGGAGGCAGCAGUGGGGAAUCUUAGACAAUGGGCGCAAGUGAUCUAGCCAUGCCGCGUGAGUGACGAAGGCCUUAGGGUCGUAAAGCUCUUUCGCCAGGGAUGAUAAUGACAGUACCUGGUAAAGAAACCCCGGCUAACUCCGUGCCAGCAGCCGCGGUAAUACGGAGGGGGUUAGCGUUGUUCGGAAUUACUGGGCGUAAAGCGCGCGUAGGGGAUUGGAAAGUUGGGGGUGAAAUCCCGGGGCUCAACCCCGAACUGCCUCCAAAACUAUCAGUCUAGAGUUCGAGAGAGGUGAGUGGAAUUCCAAGUGUAGAGGUGAAAUUCGUAGAUAUUUGGAGGAACACCAGUGGCGAAGGGGCUCACUGGCUCGAUACUGACGCUGAGGUGCGAAAGUGUGGGGAGCAAACAGGAUUAGAUACCCUGGUAGUCCACACCGUAAACGAUGAAUGCCAGACGUCGGGGGGCUUGCCUUCGGUGUCACACCUAACGGAUUAAGCAUUCCGCCUGGGGAGUACGGUCGCAAGAUUAA
rnacentral:rRNA from 1 species